AUACUUACCUGUCAGGGGAGAGACAAUGAUCAUGAAGGUUGUGCUCCCAGAAUGUGCUCCCAUUGCAUUCUGGGUGUGCUGAAGCCUACAAUGCCCCCAAAUGUGGGAUCCUUGACUGCAGAAUUUGUUGUAGUGGGAGACUGCAUUUGCAUUUUCCCC